GCACAAGGGGAAGUCCGUGACUACAUCGCCAAGAAGGUCGGCAAAAGUGAGAGAAUUAAACCGAAGUCCAUGAUCCACCAAUCAGAAUUACAGUCCAACCACCAGCGGAGCAAAAGUUUCCGACCCAAACUGGACUUUCAUCCAGCAGGCUGACCACUGCAGCAUGAAGCCUGCAGCUGGCUGCACCUCACCUAGCGCGGGCCAAUAAUCUGGAUUUCCUGUGGAAGGUUUUCAUAACGCUCCUGUUCCAACCCUGCGGAUCCUGAUUCGCCAGCAGGAUCUCCCUGAUCCGGGUCCAGUUCUGGUUCCGGACUCAUCCAGCAGGGUCUGGAGGUACUGCUCCAACCCAGAGAGCCGGAUCGGCCGGACCGCUGACCCCUCAAUCACUUUUAACCAGAACAGAGCAGCAGACCGAACCGGACCUCAACACUCUUCAGUGUAGAAGCUGCUGCAGAGAAAGACGCCAGGGCAGCCAUUUUGACUGGACAGGGGUCAACCUGGGCCGGUUUCUAGUCCAUCUUAACAACCGAUGCUAAAAGCAGCUCUGAAUGCCAGCUGCACAUAAAUAAAGUUCUGCUCUCACACCCAG